rnacentral:rRNA from 1 species
UCCUACGGGUGGCUGCAGUGGGGAAUUUUGGACAAUGGGCGCAAGCCUGAUCCAGCCAUGCCGCGUGCAGGAUGAAGGCCUUCGGGUUGUAAACUGCUUUUGUACGGAACGAAAAGACUCUGGUUAAUACCUGGGGUCCAUGACGGUACCGUAAGAAUAAGCACCGGCUAACUACGUGCCAGCAGCCGCGGUAAUACGUAGGGUGCGCGCGUUAAUCGGAAUUACUGGGCGUAAAGCGUGCGCAGGCGGUUAUAUAAGACAGAUGUGAAAGCCCCGGGGGCAACCUGGGAAGUGCAUUUGUGACUGUAUAGCUAGAGUACGGCAGAGGGGGAUGGAAUUCCGCGUGUAGCAGUGAAAUGAGUAGAUAUGCGGAGGAACACCGAUGGCGAAGGCAGUCCCCUGGGCCUGUACUGACGCUCAUGCACGAAAGCGUGGGGAGCAAACAGGAUUAGAUACCCCGGUAGUCAC